rnacentral:rRNA from 1 species
AUUGAACGCUGGCGGCAUGCCUUACACAUGCAAGUCGAACGGCAGCACGGGUGCUUGCACCUGGUGGCGAGUGGCGAACGGGUGAGUAAUACAUCGGCACAUGUCCUGUAGUGGGGGAUAGCCCGGCGAAAGCCGGAUUAAUACCGCAUACGAUCUACGGAUGAAAGCGGGGGGCCUUCGGGCCUCGCGCUAUAGGGUUGGCCGAUGGCUGAUUAGCUAGUUGGUGGGGUAAAGGCCUACCAAGGCGACGAUCAGUAGCUGGUCUGAGAGGACGACCAGCCACACUGGGACUGAGACACGGCCCAGACUCCUACGGGAGGCAGCAGUGGGGAAUUUUGGACAAUGGGCGAAAGCCUGAUCCAGCAAUGCCGCGUGUGUGAAGAAGGCCUUCGGGUUGUAAAGCACUUUUGUCCGGAAAGAAAUCCUUGGCCCUAAUACGGUCGGGGAUGACGGUACCGGAAGAAUAAGCACCGGCUAACUACGUG